rnacentral:rRNA from 1 species
GACGAACGCUGGCGGCACGCCUAACACAUGCAAGUCGAGCGGAGAUUGAGAGCUUGCUCUCAUGAUCAGCGGCGGACGGGUGAGUAACACGUGAGCAACCUGCCUUUCAGAGGGGGACAACAGUUGGAAACGACUGCUAAUACCGCAUAACAUUGCCGAACGGCAUCGUUUGGCAAUCAAAGGAGCAAUCCGCUGAAAGAUGGGCUCGCGUCUGAUUAGAUAGUUGGUGAGGUAACGGCUCACCAAGUCGACGAUCAGUAGCCGGACUGAGAGGAUGAACGGCCACAUUGGGACUGAGACACGGCCCAAACUCCUACGGGAGGCAGCAGUGGGGAAUAUUGCACAAUGGGGGAAACCCUGAUGCAGCGACGCCGCGUGAGUGAUGAAGUAUUUCGGUAAUGUAAAAACUCUAUCAGCAGGGAAGAUAAAUGACGGUACCU